rnacentral:rRNA from 1 species
UUCCGUAGGGUGAACCUGCGGAGGGAUCAUUACAGAGUUGCAAAACUCCCCAAACCAUUGUGAACUUACCUUCAACCGUUGCUUCGGCGGGCGGGCCCGGGUCUCACCGACCCGGCCGCCCCAACGGCCCCGCUCGCGGGGCGCCCGCCGGAGGUACCCAAACUCUUGAUACUUUAUGGCCUCUCUGAGUCUUCUGUACUGAAUCAGUCAAAACUUUCAACAACGGAUCUCUUGGUUCUGGCAUCGAUGAAGAACGCAGCGAAAUGCGAUAAGUAAUGUGAAUUGCAGAAUUCAGUGAAUCAUCGAAUCUUUGAACGCACAUUGCGCCCGCCAGUAUUCUGGCGGGCAUGCCUGUUCGAGCGUCAUUUCAACCAUCAAGCCCCGUGCUUGUGUUGGGGACCUGCGGCUGCCCGCAGGCCCUGAAAACCAGUGGCGGGCUCGCUGACACACCGAGCGUAGUAGUAACAACCUCGCUCAGGGCGUGCUGCGGGUUCCGGCCGUAAAACGCCUCAUACGUACCCAAGGUUGACCUCGGAUCAGGUAGGAAGACCCGCUGAACUUAAGCAUAUCAAUAAGCGGAGGAA